AGCGAACGCUGGCAGCAGGCCUAACACAUGCAAGUCGAACGGACCUUUCGGGGUUAGUGGCGGACGGGUGAGUAACACGUGGGAACGUGCCUUUAGGUUCGGAAUAGCUCCUGGAAACGGGUGGUAAUGCCGAAUGUGCCCUUAGGGGGAAAGAUUUAUCGCCUUUAGAGCGGCCCGCGUCUGAUUAGCUAGUUGGUGAGGUAAUGGCUCACGAAGGCUACGAUCAGUAGCUGGUCCGAGAGGAUGACCAGCCACAUUGGGACUGAGACACGGCCCAAACUCAUACGGGAGGCAGCAGUGGGGAAUCUUGCGCAAUGGGCGAAAGCCUGACGCAGCCAUGCCGCGUGGAUGAUGAAGGUCUUAGGAUUGUAAAAUCCUUUCACCGGUGAAGAUAAUGACUGUAGCCGGAGAAGAAGCCCCGGCUAACUUCGUGCCAGCAGCCGCUGUAA
rnacentral:rRNA from 1 species